UUAGACUCUGAUCAAUUUAUUCGUAACUCUAAUGCUUCUCUUUGGUCUUCGUUAUAUUUGCUAAGUUACUUCAGACAGUAUCAGCACUAUAAUUUAUUCACUGUUCGCUAUCAAGCGUCCAUCGGUGAAGAUGCAUUUGCCAGUUAACAACUUCAGGUGAUUUGAAAACAGUGCUAUGGUGAAGUUACGGGGUUUGUUCUUUCUUUUUUAAAUUAAACAGCCACAGAGAUUGCUGUUCGCCUUUGCAACCGAGGCGAAAUCGUCUUCAUCCCGAGACUCGACCUCGCCCCAAGUGAUGUCACUCUUCCUUUGACCCUGACGCACACACAAAGCUUGACAUUGCUACAGAGAUGUCUUGUGAACUCAUACCGAGCUCUCGAGAGCGCUGUCUGUGACAUGUUGGACCUUCGGUGGCUUGUGCUCAGAAGCUGUGUGUAAAAAACUGUCACCACAACGGGCCUCGCAUCAUGAGACAAGGCAUCGAUUCGUAUCUAACUCGCAUAGCAGUAUGACCCACACUGUUGGAGAACAGCCCACGGCAAGCGGAUACCGGAGCAACCCUGGAGAUCCCUUCAAGGGACUUCCGGUCGACACGGAAGGGGUCAGCACUUUCCCCAACCUCUCUGCAUACGACUACAAUGUUCAUGACACGACAGCUCAACUGAUAUUUGAUCCUAAGAGCUGGAACUUAGCCAAACGAUGUGUAGAAUCAAAUAGAAUGCAAUGGCUUUAUUGUAUUUGUGUCCAGUCAUUGAUGACCGGUC